rnacentral:rRNA from 1 species
GAUGAACGCUAGCGGCAGGCCUAAUACAUGCAAGUCGAACGGUGUCUUCGGACAUAGUGGCGCACGGGUGCGUAACACGUAUGCAACCUACCUUACAUUGGGGGAUAGCCUUUCGAAAGGGAGAUUAAUACCGCAUAAGACAGUAGCUGGGCAUCCAGCAGCUGUUAAAGAUUUAUCGAUGUAAGCUGGGCAUGCGUCCAAUUAGCUAGUUGGUGAGGUAACGGCUCACCAAGGCAAUGAUUGGUAGGGGAACUGAGAGGUCAAACCCCCACACUGGCACUAGGAUAAGGGCCAGACUCCUACGGGAGUCAGCAGUAGUGAAUAUUGGGCAAUGGACGCAAGUCUGACCCAGCCAUGCCGCGUGCAGGAGGAAGGCGUUAUGCGUUGUAAACUGCUUUUAUACAGGAAGAAACGACUCUUGCGAGAGGCAUUGACGGUACUGUAUGAAUAAGCACCGGCUAACUCCGUGCCAGCAGCCGCAGUAAUAC